rnacentral:rRNA from 1 species
GACGAACGCUGGCGGCGUGCUUAACACAUGCAAGUCGAACGGAAAGGCCCUGCUUUUGUGGGGUGCUCGAGUGGCGAACGGGUGAGUAACACGUGAGUAACCUGCCCUUGACUUUGGGAUAACUUCAGGAAACUGGGGCUAAUACCGGAUAGGAGCCCCUGCUGCAUGGAGGGGGUUGGAUAGUUUCGGCGGUUGGGGAUGGACUCGCGGCUUAUCAGCUUGUUGGUGGGGUAGUGGCGUACCAAGGCCUUGACGGGUAGCCGGCCUGAGAGGGUGACCGGCCACAAUGGGACUGAGGUACGGCCCAGACUCCUACGGGAGGCAGCAGUGGGGAGUAUUGCACAAUGAGCGGAAGCCUGAUGCGGCGGCGCCGCGUGCGGGAUGACGGCCUUCGGGUUGUGAACCGCUUUCGCCUGUGACGCAGCGUGAGUGACGGUAAUGGGUAAAGAAGCACCGGCUAACUACGUG